ACUAGGUAAUCUGACUGCAGGAAAGGACUCCAGGUAAUAAUGAUAAAAUAUGAAUAACAUUCCACCCAGGAAAGUGAUAGCUACACAGCAAUGUUAUUGGAAACCCAUGGCUUUUCUCGUAAGCAGGUUAAACUGGUUUUCUGUUUAUGCUUACAUGGGGUCAAUGCCACUAAACUUUAACAGAACUGAUGGAAUCCUAAAUUAAUCAGUAACAGAAAUUACACAAAGUUUCCUGACAUUGGGGAGGUGAAUAAACUGUUCCCUUGGUUUCUGUCUCAACACAAAGGAAAAUCUCACUGACUUGACAUGUUCUGGUUUUGAAUUCAGGCUGCAAGGGGUCAGUGCUGUAAAGUAAGUCUCUCUGGGGAGAAAGAGGAUGGGGGUCUCUGACUCUAAAAGUGGUCUCUCUGGGGAACAUGGCACCAAAGCUAAGAGUCCAAUCAAGCAGGAGAGACCAGCCUCCCCUGAACCCAGCUGUGUGUC